AUGCACCAGGAAUGGUCGGGAUAGCUCAGCUGGUAGAGCAGAGGACUGAAAAUCCUCGUGUCACCAGU
rnacentral:tRNA from 2 species